UACGGGGGGGGCAAGCGUUGUUCGGAAUUACUGGGCGUAAAGGGCUCGUAGGCGGCCAACUAAGUCAGACGUGAAAUCCCCAGACUCAACCUGGGAACUGCGUCUGAUACUGAUUGGCUUGAAUCCGGGAGAGGGAUGCAGAAUUCCAGGUGUAGCGGUGAAAUGCGUAGAUAUCUGGAGGAAUACCGGUGGCGAAGGCGGCAUCCUGGACCGGCAUUGACGCUGAGGAGCGAAAGCCAGGGGAGCAAACGGG
rnacentral:rRNA from 1 species